rnacentral:misc_RNA from 1 species
CAAGUGCUGUUUGCAUGCUUUUACGGCUGCAAGACAGCCAUGACGAAGAAUGUGGACUUUGCUUGCCGAUGGCUAGACCUGAGCUACAAAGAAACCACUCGAAGAUCCGCAAGCUGUGCGGCGCAUCUGCUUUGUCGAGUCUUACGAUUCCAACGGAUGAUGCCCGCAGUUUGUAGUCUUCACCUAGGACCAUGAUCGCAUGUCGGUAGGAAUAUUUCUAUUCUGACGACUGUGAGAAUGCGCUCCAGAGCAAAGCAAGACCGGCGUACAAGGAGGUGGAUGACAGGAGCAAGGUUGAGGAGCCGCCGUCGAUGCGAGUCUAUAUGAUUCUUCCGACGGUGUGCGCCUCCCUUGCCGAUGCCCGCUUUUUUACGUUCUAUCAAUUUCUGAUAGCUGCUCGAGAAAAACACGGUUGGCGCCUGCCGAGGGACGAUUCGCUGCUCGCUUGGUGGUGCGCCGAUCUGCGUGCCUGCCGCAAGGUGGGUGUGCAGCUCGAAUAGUUACCUGGUUGAUUCUGCCAGU